rnacentral:rRNA from 1 species
UACAGAGGGUGCGAGCGUUGUUCGGAAUUAUUGGGCGUAAAGGGCGCGUAGGCGGUGCGGUAAGUCACCUGUGAAAUCUCCUGGCUCAACUGGGAGGGUGCGCCGGAAACUGGAGUGCUUGAGCGUGGGAGAGGAAAGCGGAAUUCCUGGUGUAGCGGUGAAAUGCGUAGAUAUCAGGAGGAACACCUGUGGUGUAGACGGCUUUCUGGACCAUAGCUGACGGCUGAGACACGAAAGCGUGGGUAGCAAACAGG